rnacentral:rRNA from 1 species
UACGUAGGGGGGCGAGCGUUGUCCGGAAUCAUUGGGCGUAAAGCGCGUGUAGGCGGCCCGGUAAGUCCGCUGUGAAAGUCCAGGGCUCAACCCUGGGAUGCCGGUGGAUACUGUCGGGCUCGAGUCCGGAAGAGGCGAGUGGAAUUCCUGGUGUAGCGGUGAAAUGGCGUAGAUAUUGGGAGGAACACCAGUGGCGAAGGCGGCUCACUGGACCGGAAC